rnacentral:lncRNA from 1 species
AUGCCCAGCAAGAGGAAGAAGAACAAGCGCCGCAUGAAGAGGGUGCAGGCCCAGAGGAGAGCACUCGAAGAGCAGUAUGCGGCCAACCGGCCGGCCAAGGCGGGCCCGGCGAUUGCCGUGAGUGCGCCCCCUGCAGCGACCCCGAAGAAAGCGGCCAAACCUCCAGCACCGGCUCCAAAGAAGAUCCCAGAGGCCGUUCCCAUUGCUGUUCCCAUCGCCGUGCCCAUCGCCGUGCCCGUUGUGGAGACGCCCAAAGUCGAACCCAAGCCAGUUGUGGAGGAACCCGUCGCACUGCCCGUCCCAGUCAAAGAAGAGGCACCAGAGCCCGAGGCUGUGGUGGCGGCAGUGGAACAGACUCCGGCAGAAGUGGAGGUUGAAGUCCCAGCGCCCGUCGCCGAAGAAGCGCCGGUCGUCGCCGAGACGCCACCGGUGGCGGCUCCUGAAGUUGAAGCGCCGGUCGUCGCCGAGACGCCACCGGUGGCGGCUCCUGAAGUUGAAGCGCCGGUCGUCGUCGAGACGCCACCGGUGGCGCCUUCUGAAGUUGAAGCGCCGGUCGCCGUCGAGACCCUGUCGCCUUCUGAAGUUGAAGCUGCCGUAGAACCCGAGGCUGAGCCCGUCAUUCCUGAAACAGAACCAGUAGCUGAGGUUACACCCCCGGCUGAGGCUCCAGUGGCUGCUCCCGCUGAGACUGAGGUUACUACGCUCGCCGCCGAGGCUCCGGCAGCAGCUCCUUCGGAGGCGGAGGUUGAGUCGGUUGAAGCUACAAUCGUGCCCACGGAGACGGAACCAACCGAGGCCAAACAGACGCAUGAUGUCUGCGAGCCAGAGACUCGGGUGGAGGCCGCGGCCUCGGCAGAGGAGGACACAGUCGCUGCCGUGGGAGCGGUCGCCGCGGUCGAAGAGGUCGCCGCGGUCGACCAACAGUCUGCCGAGGCGGAACCUGCUGCAGCCGAGGAGGUCGCGACGGCGGAGGAGAAGAUCGCCGAGACCGAACAGGCGACUGAAGCCGGCGUCAGUCCUGCAGCCGAGGAGGAAGCUGAAGUAGAAGUGUUGGCGGAAGAAGACGCACCAGCGGUCCCCGCUGAGCCGGUUACAAUCGCAGAGACUGUUCCUGUCCAAUCUGUGGAAAUCCCAGAGGUGCCAGCCUCCAUCCCCGAGGCGCCGGUAGAAGAAACUCCCGUGGCUGAAGUAACGGAGGCGCCCGUCCCCCAGGAUGUCGCCGACGUGGUGGUCGACGACUUCGUCGUCACGGAGUCCGUGUCAGCAGUGGAGGACGCCAUUGCCGAGUCUGUCGCCGACAAAGAGGUUCUGACAGUUGAUGCUACAGUCGUAACCGCGGAGACCGAACAGGAAAUCGUGGUCACGAGCGACGCCCCCAGCGCCCCGACAGAGUCCGUGGAUGCGACCCCCGCUGAGCCCGAGCCCGCCGCUGCCCCUGCGUUGGACACGGUCAUUGAUGCUGCUGUGGAUCAGAAAUGUCUGACCGUGCUGUCAGAGGAACCAAAGCCAGAAAUCCGUGACCUGCCGUGUCAGAUGCAGCUCGCCGUCGAGUCCAUGCAACUCAACUCAAUGGAGACGCCAGUGGAGACGGCGUUGAAUGGACACAUGGUUCCAGAGGUCUCCAUUGAGGGUUAGAGCCCCAGAGCAGGACCUUCCCCCCCCCGUGUAAGUUUCUCUCAUAUUGAAUCAGUCCUUUUAUCGCAUAGUUUAAAGAAUAUUGCAUUCUGGAGACUCGAGUUAAGACUUCUUCCUGCAGCCACUCACCAGGAUCCUGUCUUCUUUGUGCAAUUUCAGAUUCCCCUUUGGUGCCUUUGAGGACUCAAAGUUUUAAAGGGGGGGCUUUGCGACAGAACCGUCAGGAAAUCCGAGGAAUAUCCACACUUUGAAGUGCCUCUCCUGCCCCCGGUUUCCUGUCAAAAGCCCCAAACCAGAUGUCAACACUGAUGCGUUCGGGGCAGCAGAGCGGACUGUUGUCAUUCGUUUGCAGAAAAUGGAAACGCACCUAUUGUGGCUCCUUUUAAAAAAGAUAAAUAAAAUUAAAUAAAAAAAAAAUUAAAUAAAUAUGUAUUUCUCUCCCUGGAUUCGAGCAGUGACCGGUAUUUCUUACAUAAUCCCAUCUCUCUCGAACAUCUGCGAACACUGUAGCCUAAGUGAAAGCGGCUACAGUUUGCACUUGGGCCUUUUGUUCAUACAUUUUUCCUGUUUUUCUGAUUCACAUUUCUAAAUCUGAAUUUGCUUCGUCUCCUGUACCCGGGAGUCGCAGUGUCAAACUUCAACCCAGCUUCUGUUUCCGCCUCCUCUCAGGGCCACUGCUAACAUUAGUCUAAUGCUACAACACAUCCCAGAACUAGACGUUGGGGUGUUUCUGUCUUUUUUUGUUUUGUUUGUUUCUUUCCCUCGCUCCUUUUUUUUUAAAAAUUUUGUAUAGAUCAUAUGAUGUGCUACAGUUUUGUGUUCAAAGUCUGCUCUGGAGGGAGGGAAGUGAUUUUUUUAUUUUAGGGCUGUUUGAUGGUCUGACUUGAUCUAACUUUGAAAUAAAGCUGUUACGCAUCGUGAUGCUGAGUACGUGUUUCACUGUUCAUACACGGUUACGACACAACGGAAAUAUCCAAUUUAAAAUGUAUUUAAUUUGCAGGUCAGUUCAGUAGCAACAACAAUCUUUUGAGGGCUUUCAAAGAUUGUUUUUUUCUUUCUAAUUUAUCCUCUUGGAGCUGCAACAGUUAAUCGAUUACUUAAUCGUCAACUAUUUUGAUAAAGGGUUCAAGUCGAAAUUCUCUGAUUUCAGCUUAUUAAAUGUGAAUAUUUUCUAGUUUCUUUGCUCCUCUGUGACGGCAAACUAAAUAUCUUUAGUGUUGACCAAACAUAAUCUUGGGGGUUUGGGAAAAAGGAUUGACAUUUUUAAUUUAAUGGACUAAUAGAGAAAAUAAUUGACUAUCGAUUACGAAAAUAAUCGGUAGUAGCCCUACUUAAAGAAAAUUUAGUGGGUUUUUUACAUAAUUGAUAGUAGUGGAGGGAAAUCAUCUGGCUUUAGAGAUUUCAUGUGAGGGAUGUGGAUGGAGAAGAAGCAAAUGGUUUACUUCAACUCAUGUCAACCAGAAGCCCAUUAGUUAAGCAUAAUUGCUUAAAAUAGAUUUUUUUUUUUACCAAAAGGGUCAUGGACACAAAUAAUGACUAAUCUUCCGCUAGCAAUUGGCUGAUUUAAAAAUGAUCAGUACUUGAACUGGAAUGAGAUGCAUUCAAAAAUUAUCACAUUCACAUUUGUACCAUUGAAGAUAAAUGGCAUGUUUGAAAAGAGACGGAACAGUUACUUCUCAAGAAUUGAACUACUUUUAUGAUUGUUAAAAUGAAGACAAUGAAACGCGAACAUUUACCUCGGAUCAAAAGAUUUUUUUUAAUCAUUUUGUUUUUGCAUUGAAAUCUACAUUCAUAUUAGUGAUGAUACAAUUUGGUUCAGUAAACACUGCCAGUAUGUGGUUUUACAAUCCUCCCUCUUUAUACUUAAGAUCACACGGUCAACAUGGGUUUCAGCUGAAUUUCAAGCAUCGGUGUAGUUUAUUUUUUAUUUAUGUUUACUGGCCCCGGUCAUGAUGGAAUCAUAGCAAAAUGUCCAAGCGCAAAACAGAAGGAAUGACUUCAGUUCUGCCAUAAUAGGAAGAAAAAAAAAAAAGACAGACAAAUGAUAAACGCAUAACCACAUAACAGCAGAGGAUAUAUAUAUAUAUAUUGGUAAAAGCACAUUCGUAUUAAUCGAUACUUUGGAAUGAAAACAACAACCAAGAGGCUGUGAUCAACCAACUGCCCCGUGUUCACUCGGCACAUUCCACUUAUAUAUUAUCUGAUUUUUUUUUAUCAGUUAUUAAUAUGCAUGAAUACGUGUCAUUAUGACCCCCCAAAAAAAACAAUAAAUAAGAAAACAGGUGAUCAGAUUGGUCCAUGAGGUAAAAAUGUGAAUAAAAAAAAAGGGCAAAAGUUGGAAAGAAACACGCACAAAAAGGAACACGUGGCUGAAAAAAGGAUAUGAAUACAGAAAAGAUUGUGACUGCAGACAAGAAAAGCAUGUUGUCCAACAAGGUUUCAUCACCCCACCCCCAGAGAGAAACACACACACUGACUCGCACACGCCCAAUCACAUUCACACCGUCAUCUUACACUUGAUGGAUGAGAUUUUUUUUAUAUUUACAAAGAAAUAUUGAUUAACUGACAAAAAGCUCCGCCCUCCCCCCUCGUUUCACUUUUUCAUCUCGUCCUAUGCACUGACAAUCCCCUGAACUCGGCGCUGGAGGUGGGCGGGGCUUCCAGAGACAAAGAGGAGGACGGGGAGUGGGGGGUUAAUGAAGACGGUGAUGAUGGAGUCGCUGUGGAAGCAAGUAGUUCUGCCACUCCAGCAGGUUGACUCAGUUUCUGCUACAAGAAAAAGAGCACUUCAAUAAAAAAUAAAAAAAAAAUAGAGAAAGCCACCGCCCAUUUGGACUACCCUGGUUUGAAAAUCAAACAGACAGCCACCUGCUGUUGUUCAGAGGUUAAGUGUGGGGAGGAGCAUGCAGUUCGCGACGCAGCGCGGCCCGAAUGGGUGGGAAUUCAAAGAGCACUUCAAAAGACAAAACGGCCCGCUCGGGUUUAUAUUCGGGGCUCCAAAAUAAGUUCAGCUCCUCCGUCAGAAGUUAGAGGUUUAGGACGCGGAGUGUGAG